rnacentral:rRNA from 1 species
UACAGAGGGUGCGAGCGUUAAUCGGAAUUACUGGGCGUAAAGCGUGCGUGGACGGUUAUGUAAGUCGGGUGUGAAAGCCCCGGGCUCAACCUGGGAAUUGCAUUCGAGACUGCGUAGCUAGGGUGCGGAAGAGGGAAGCGGAAUUUCCGGUGUAGCGGUGAAAUGCGUAGAUAUCGGAAGGAACACCAGUGGCGAAAGCGGCUUCCUGGUCCAGCACCGACGUUCAGGCACGAAAGCGUGGGGAGCAAACAGG